AAGGAGCUCACAGUCUAUUGAGUUACCUUUCUGACUUUCCCACUAGAUUGUGAGCUCCUGGA
rnacentral:pre_miRNA from 1 species